AUUUAGGUCUUUCAGCUUUUUGGUAGAUAGCUCUCUAAUACUGUGGGAAUUAAAGAGUUAUCUACUAAGCGGCUGCUUAUUUUGUUAUUUUGAAGUGAUUUCCCUAUCCACAUUUGUUUGCAGGGCACUUGUUCUACUCUUACCCGUAUUUUACUUCCUUUUGCAGCCUUCUAGCCCUUUCCAUGAGUUUUUUAUAGGCAUUUUUGUGCCCAAAAAUUCGGGUCCCCAUUGAUUUUUUUCAAAGUUCUGCCGGACCCGAACAACCAGGUGUCUGCUCAACUCUAAUCCCAGUACAUUUCCACGGGCAGGUCAAACCAGGUGUAUUUGUCAAGAGAGGUGACAAGAAAAGAAAUACAUGAAGCAAGGCUAUGAAGAAAUCUAUUAAAAACAGAACCAAGUCUAACUCUGAAAAACCAAGUAUUUUGUCAGAUUCCUGUAUGUUCUCAAAGGAGAUGGUAAACAUAAACCCCAAACAUUUCUCGUGUUCUGAAUGUGAGAAAUGUUAUGUCACAAAAGCAGUGUUCGUUUGUCAUCAGAGAACUCACACAGGAGAGAAACCAUUCUCAUGUUCUAAAUGUGGAAAAAGUUUUGUCACAAAUGCAGAUCUCGUCCGUCGUCAGAGAACUCACACAGUAGAGAAACCGUUUCCAUGUUCUGAAUGUGGAAAAUGUUUUAGGCAACAUUCAACUCUUGUCAAUCAUCAGAGAACGCACACAGGAGAGAAACCGUUCGCGUGUUCUGAAUGUGGAAAAUGUUUUAGGCAACAUUCAACUCUUGUCAAUCAUCAGAGAACUCACACAGGAGAGAAACCGUUCCCAUGUUCUGAAUGUGGAAAAUGUUUUAUCACAAAAGCAGAUCUUGUGAGUCAUCAGAGAACUCACACAGGAGAGAAACCAUUCUCCUGUUCUGAAUGUGGAAAAUGUUUUGGGCUACAAUCUCAUCUUGUCCGUCAUCAGAGAACUCACACAGGAGAGAAACCGUUCUCAUGUUCAGAAUGUGAAAAAUGUUUUAGGCAACUUUCACAUCUUGUCAAUCAUCAGAGAACUCACACAGGAGAAAAACGAUUCUCGUGUUCUGAAUGUGGAAAAUGUUUUAUCAUAAAAGCAGAUCUUGUAAAUCAUCAGAGAACUCACACAGGAGAGAAACCGUUCUCGUGUUCUGAAUGUGGAAAAUGUUUUGGGCGACAUUCAACUCUUGUCAAUCAUCAGAGAAUUCACACAGGAGAGAAACCGUUCGCGUGUUCUGAAUGUGGAAAAUGUUUUAGGCAACAUUCAUCUCUUGUCAGUCAUCAGAGAACUCACACAGGAGAGAAACCGUUCGCGUGUUCUGAAUGUGGAAAGUGUUUUUGGCACCUUUCAUCUCUUGUCAGUCAUCAGAGAAAACACACAGCAGAGAAACGGUUCUCUUGUUCUGAAUGUGGAAAGUGUUUUUGGCACCUUUCAACUCUUGUCAGUCAUCAGAGAAAACACACAGCAGAGAAACGGUUCUCUUGUUCUGAAUGUGGAAAGUGUUUUUGGCACCUUUCAACUCUUGUCUGUCAUCAGAGAACACACACAGGAGAGAAACCGUUCUCAUGUUCUGAAUGUGGAAAAUGUUUUAUCACAAAAGCAGAGCUUGUCCGCCAUCAGAGAAUUCACACAGGAGAAAAACCGUUCCCAUGUUCUGAAUGUGGAAAAUGUUUUAUCACAAAAGCAGAUCUUGUCAGUCAUCAGAGAACUCACACAGGAGAGAAACGAUUCUCGUGUUCUGAAUGUGGAAAAAGUUUUGUCACAAAAGCAGAGCUUGUCCGCCAUCAGAGAAUUCACACAGGAGAAAAACCGUUCCCAUGUUCUGAAUGUGGAAAAUGUUUUGUCACAAAAGCAGAGCUUGUCAGUCAUCAGAGAACUCACACAGGAGAGAAACGAUUCUCGUGUUCUGAAUGUGGAAAAAGUUUUGUCACAAAAGCAGAGCUUGUCCGCCAUCAGAGAAUUCACACAGGAGAAAAACCGUUCCCAUGUUCUGAAUGUGGAAAAUGUUUUGUCACAAAAGCAGAGCUUGUCAGUCAUCAGAGAACUCACACAGGAGAGAAACCAUUCUCAUGUUCUGAAUGUGGAAAAUGUUUUGUCACAAAGACAGUGCUCAUCUGUCAUCAGAGAAUUCACACAGGAGAGAAACCAUUCUCAUGUCCUGAAUGUGGAAAAUGUUUUAUCACAAAAGCAAAUCGUGUCCGCCAUCAGAGAACUCACACAUGAGAGAAACCAUAUGUAGCGGAUGGCACUAGGCUGUCCUGCAAAUUUCAUGUGAAGAGCUGCAUUCGUAUAAACUGCUGGUUUUAGAUGUGUGUAAAAGAAAUGUAUUCCUCUGAUUGUUCGGUAGAAUCAUUCGAAUAAACUAAGGGAAUGAAACUACCGAACAAUCAGACCUCCCCUGUGUGAAGUGUGUCCUCAAUUACCCAUUGCAACAUUGUUGCAAACGGGUAAUUGAUAAGUUAAGUAGCCGUCCUUUGUUCUCGGGGGUGGCCGCCAUUCGACAAAUGAACACCGGUGUUUUGCCGUCGAGUGUCUGGAACUCAAAUCGGACACUCGACUAGGCGAACACCGCUGAAACCUCCACAAGCCCGGUCCGUUCGGUUCCUAACUACCGAACAGCCCCUCGUUCGGUAGAUAGACAGAACCAGACGAGGGGAUUCAGGCGAACCCUCCCUAGCCUCUAUAGCUAGAGGUUUUCAUGCCAUUUAUUCCCUGACUCCAGGACCGACCGCAGGGCCUAUUCACAUGGAACCGCAUUCGGCUGUUUCACUCAGUGCGGUCGGUCAUUUUAUUCCCUCCAUAAAUUUCCCGAACCCCUGGUCUGAUCUGGGUGAUUUUUGGAUAUGUUGUUCACCCAGAUCAGGGCUACCAGGGGAUGUAUGAUUUAAAGGGGUACCCCUACGUUUAGGAGUACAUCCAGAAACGGGGAAUUGCUGUACUGGAUAAGGGGAUUAUGAUGCCGGCUGAGGGGAGGAGAUGUGUGGGAGGUUACCAGGACAGGAUUGACUACUGUAUUAAUGAAUGUAAUCCCUCCCUUGCAUGGGAGCAUGCUUUAAAAGGCCAGUGUGGAAUAAAGCUUUCAGUUCUGCUCCUGAAACU